rnacentral:rRNA from 1 species
AUGCAGAUCAUACCACCACAAGUAUUAGAUUUAAGCAAUUUUAACAUGCUUCCUCUUACUCCCUCUUUUCACAUGGACGAUAAGAAGGUUGUUCGGCACUUUGCCGGACAAUUCACGGCCGGGCCAGGGAUGGGGUUGGGGUUCUCUAACAUCUUCAACUUGAGCACGCAGGUUUUUGGACAAGUGGCAAAUCAGCUGACCAGCGGCCUACAACUACAGGUCGCCAACAACAAUUCCGUCCUGCAGUUGCAGGAUCAGCUCUCAACCCUGGUUAUUGCAAUAAUCACGGCCUUGUACAAGCCGGCGAGCGGUGUUCUUUUCCGUCACCACCCGCUCGCAUAUUACUGUGCUCUCGCUGCUAUUUUCGUCGCAGGAGUCGGAGAAACUCUUACUGCAUAUUGGUUGUCGUGCUCCCGCAACGCCAAUGGGCGCCAUUUCGCCGUCGGCAAGGCUGUUUGGUGGGCUUCCGUUGUGUCGCUUAUCUUUGUACUUGGCAUCGGCGGCUGCCGUGUCAUCAUGGGCUACUAA